rnacentral:tRNA from 1 species
GGGAUUGUGGCUCAGUGGUAGAGCACUUGCCUCAUGCAUGAGGAACUGGGUUCGAUCCCAGCAUACAUG